AUGGCUCAGUGAGGCGUUCGGACUGGCCCAGAGAGGUGGGCAACUACCACUCAGGGCCGGAAAGUUCUCCAAACUCGGUCAUUUAGAGGAAGUAAAAGUCGUAACAAGGUCUCCGUUGGUGAACCAGCGGAGGGAUCAUUA
rnacentral:rRNA from 4 species